rnacentral:piRNA from 1 species
AUGCUUGUGCUAGGAGUGGUGAU